GAUGAACGCUGGCGGCGUGCCUAAUACAUGCAAGUCGAGCGAACGGACGAGAAGCUUGCUUCUCUGAUGUUAGCGGCGGACGGGUGAGUAACACGUGGAUAACCUACCUAUAAGACUGGGAUAGCUUCGGGAAACCGGAGCUAAUACCGGAUAAUAUUUUGAACCGCAUGGUUCAAAAGUGAAAGGCGGUCUUGCUGUCACUUAUAGAUGGAUCCGCGCUGCAUUAGCUAGUUGGUAAGGUAACGGCUUACCAAGGCAACGAUGCAUAGCCGACCUGAGAGGGUGAUCGGCCACACUGGAACUGAGACACGGUCCAGACUCCUACGGGAGGCAGCAGUAGGGAAUCUUCCGCAAUGGGCGAAAGCCUGACGGAGCAACGCCGCGUGAGUGAUGAAGGUCUUCGGAUCGUAAAACUCUGUUAUUAGGGAAGAACAUAUGUGUAAGUAACUGUGCACAUCUUGACGGUACCUAAUCAGAAAGCCACGGCUAACUACGUG
rnacentral:rRNA from 1 species